GAUGAGAGGGGAGAAGGUCAGAAGAAGCAGACUCACUGCAGAGCUGGGAGCCUGAUGCGGGACUCGAUCCCGGGAUUCCGGGGUCACAACCUGAGCUGAAGGCAGUGGCGCAACCAACUGAGCCACCCAGGGGCCCAAAAAAACUUUUUUAAAGAAAGAUUUUAUUUAUUUAUUUGAGAGAGAGAGAGAGAGAGAGAGAGCACCGAGUGUGGGGAUAGGAGCAGAGGGAGAGGGACGAGCAGACUCCACACUGAGCAUGGAGCCUGACAUGGGGCUCGACCCCAGGAUCCUGAGAUCAUGACCUGAGCUGAAAUCAAGAGUCAGAUGCUCAAUCAACUGAGCCACCCAGGUGCCCAGGUUAGUAUAGACGUUUAAAUGAUACUUGUUCUUCCAAUCCAUGAGCCUGGAAUGCUUUUCCAAUUCUUUGUGUCCUCUUCAAUUUCUUUCAUCAGUGUUCUAUAGCUUUCAGAGUAUAGAACUGUCUUUUCAAUACACAAACUCUUUGUUAUGGGAUGAUGAUUAUUUAAUAUUGUUAAACGAGAAAGUAAGCACCAUGAGGGCAAGUCUUUGCUUUGUUCUGUUUAGUUCAUAGGUGGCUCCUUGUUUCCUAAAAUAGUUGCAGACACAUUAGUAGGUUUUUGUUAAAUAAUGUCUAUGGAAUGAAUGAAUGAGGAAGAUCUAGAACCUUGGUAUUCUGAAUUUCAGAGGAUUGCUUUGUAAGGAAUGGACACUCCUGUCAGUCAGAAAUACAUCUGAAUGCAUGUAUAUAGUAGCUGACCCAAAUAGUGGUUAUUUUUCUCACAAUACAAGAAAUUUGGAAGGGGUGGGAGUCCAGGUCUACAGAACAGUCUGUUCUAUCUUUGAUACACCAGGAGCCUUACCUCUACGCAUGAGGCUUUCAUGCUCAUGUAUGUGACAGUCACAGGACAGCCGUUCCAUCUCAGCCCUGUCACCAGGGCCAACAAGAGAGAGGAAGAACUGGGAAGGGCAGCAUCUUGGGGAAAAAAAAGUUCCUCGAAAUCUCUAGCAGCUGUCUACGUGGACGUUUUUAUCCAGAACUGCAUCAUCUGGUCAACCCUGAAUGUGAAGGAACUCAGGAUGGUGAGCAGAUUGGCUGGUGUCAGUGCCACCUGGGGUGAAACUGACAUUCUGUUAGAAAAGAAGAAAGGGAUGAUGGGUCAGAAAAGGACAGAACUACCCAAGUCCUAUGGGGAAUUCAAAACGAAUACACUUACCCAAGAGCAAAGAAAGGCAAAAUAAAAUAAAAAUAGAAAAUAACUUUAAAAACUCAAAUCCGCCCCCCCCUUUUAACUUUCUCCCCCCUGUUAUUAGGACUUUCCUAGCAACCAGGGGUGAAGUUGUCCCCAGAGCCAGUAGGAAAUACUCUAAUGGAAAUACUUUAAGCAUGUUUCAAAAUAAGUUCAACUGUUUAUUUUCGUCUUAGUGGCCUGAUAUUCCAUCUGUACACUAGUGAGCAUAUAGGAUGGACACUUUUAAGAUUCUUCUCUCUCAAAUAGGAAACUUGGACUCCUGGAAUGUUUCUUCUCAUGCUGCUGUUACUACAGGGGAUUCAUAGGUGCUAUCGUUCCUUCUGGUACACAAAGCCAAAUUUAAGGUUCUUGAACCAGAAGAGCUUGGACUUCUGAGUUUCCAAAACGAAGCCUUGGAGUCUUUAGACCCAAUGUUUAUGCUGUGAGUCUUCGCUCUGGGAGAACGCAUGCUCCCUCCAACAAGAUGGCUUCCUCCCAUGAAGCAGCAAAGCCAAAGGAGAGAGGGAGUCGGUGAAUGUCAGAGCUCAGCAGCUAAUACCAAACUUGGGAGAAAGUCCUGGGGAGAGCGUGAAGUGUGGCCUCCUGGUGUGGGAAAGGGAGGGGCCGAUAGCAUCCCCUGCAGUCCUUCUGUUGACUGUGCGCAUGCCUUCUUCUCGUGUGUUCCGUGGCUGUCUCAUCUUUAGCUUUGAUCUCGCCCUCAAGUUGUUUUCCUGUGCUGUAACUUUAUCGUGGGUGCAGUUCAAGUAUAGGAUAGCCACGAGCUCCAGAAAGGUUUCUGCUUGAAUGUGAACCAUAUGACUCUCCAAGAGUUUCCCAAGAAUGGCGACCUCGCCCUCCUCCUCCUCCAGCCACUGCUGCCCACUCUCAGAUCCGCUCUCCCCGCUCCGGCAAGGACAAUGCACCUCCGUUCCGAGACAUUUCAACAUGACAUGCUAUGGACAUACCAUAUUCAUUUACUCCAACGUUGUUGUUUUUACUUAUCUAAACUUAAUAUAUUUUUCCAUCUGUACAGUGGUUUGGGUAACCUGGGUUGGGAUGGAAUGCUCAUAAUUUUCCCCAAUAAAAUUAAUGGAAAUACUUUUUA